AGGCUGGAUAACUUCACCUAUUAAUCUUGAAAAUGUACUUUCUAACUAUCUCCAACCUAAAUAUUUAAAUAAAUUCCUUGGUGCUAAGUACUUACAUAGCUCAUCACAGCAUUCAAGGGAAUACAAACCAGCUCUUAAAUAAACCUUACAGCUAAGGAAUUUUGACAAUUAAUAAAAAAUGAUUAGUGGAUUUUGUUUGCACACUAAUAUAUAAAAAAAAUUCACUGCAGUACUUUUAGCAGCAUUUUAAAAUUUUAUAACUAAAAGUACAGAUGUAACUUUUAAAAUGUAAUACUAUA
rnacentral:lncRNA from 1 species